UCUAUGGAGUAGAUAAGUGUUUGGUUUUCUUUGUUAUCAAGUUGAUAGGCCAUGUUAGCGUGACGUUAUUCUGUGACAUGGAAUCUAUGGUCUGCAUAGCAUUGUAUGAGCAUAUGGUUCAGUCUAUGUUAUGUUCCUUAAUGGUCACCGCUGUACAUGUUCCUUUCUGUUUGGAGUCUGAUAUAAGCGAUAAUGAUCUCUGUAAAAUUAGUAAUGUCCCAAGUCAUGCAUUCUCUGAAGAAGUACAUGCUUAUAUUUGAGCGAAUUUUUUUUAAGCGAUGCAGUAGACUAGUAGUAUUGUUUAAUGAAUUAUUCUUAUUCUCAUGGUCUCGGUUGUAUACAUUGUUGAUAUACUAUACAUCAUAUUUUCCUCCAGUAGCAGUAGUAGUACUACUAAUUUACUAUAUAGUCAUAUAGUAUACCACAUGUAUACAUGAUAUUUUCCUCCAGUAGCAGUAUUACUAAUGGUUUAUGUAUAGCCAUAUAAGUAUACCAUGUCUAAAAAAAUUCGUUUCUAUCAUCAAUUUGGUAGCCCAGGUCCUCAAGUACUUAAUAUGUACAUCAUGAGCUUUUAUAACUUAUUUUGAGUUUGCUUUUAACACCUUGGCCUUGUUAUUCGAGAAGAUGCCACUGGCAACAUACUUGGCCACAGGAGCAGUACAAGAACAGGAAGAUUCAGUGCUACUGUUACUGAACUACACGGCCAGGUGGUUGUAGGUAGCCAUCUGUUGGGAAAUAAUGCUGGAGCGAGCGGUGCACACUGGAAGCAGUUGGCAGGUUGCCGUGAUCACAUCAACUAUUAUCUAGCUUGCCUACAAGAAGUCCUGAUGAUGCAGCAGCUACAAGGCGGACCUGUAGGUUGGGAGAGGUCAUGCUAAUGCAGUUGACAGGCGUUUGAUAGCUAUGUUAUUAUUGCGUUUGAUAGCUAUGUUAUCAUUGUAUUUAUCUGACUAAAGCCGUGGAAAUAGUGUAACGGAUUUGGAUUUCUUGUAUUCUUCAGUUCUGAUUAAAUUACUUGUU